GAGAACUCAAAAAGAUAGGAGAGACCAAGGCCAGUUUCUUUUGUAAAAUUAUCCAGUCAGGUUCCCAUCCAGAUGAUCCAUGAUAAGACAGCAGACGGUACAGGCAUUGACUCCAACACCCUAGCCUUACAGAUGAAGGCCCAUCCUGAGCUGAGGGACAAGCUUCAUGUCGUCACCUCAUGGGAGCCUUUGCCUGUCUACCCUGGGGUGGUCAACUCAGAAUGACCUGAUAACACUGUUGGUUUCCGGCUUGGCGCUUACAAAG